rnacentral:rRNA from 1 species
UACAGAGGUCUCAAGCGUUGUUCGGAUUCAUUGGGCGUAAAGGGUGCGUAGGCGGCGAGGUAAGUCGGAUGUGAACUCCCGGGGCUCAACCCCGGAACUGCAUUCGAUACUGCCCCGCUUGAGGACUGGAGAGGAGACUGGAAUUCACGGUGUAGCAGUGAUAUGCGUAGAUAUCGGGAGGAAGACCGGUGGCGAAGGCGGGUCUCUGGACAGUUCCUGACGCUGAGGCACGAAAGCCAGGGGAGCAAACGGG